CCUGCCCUCCAGGACACCUACACCACCCGAUGCUACAGGAAGGCCAUAAAGAUCAUCAAGGACAUCAACCACUCGAGCCACUGCCUGUUCACCCCGCUGCCAUCCAGAAGGCGAGGUCCAUGAAGGAGGAUUUGAAGCAACAGGAACAGGACUUCCACAGGGCCUUGGAGUGCAAGAUGCAGGAGCAGAAGGAUCUACUGGAGAAGGGCCACAAGGAGAAGGCUGACUUAAUGAGACAGGAGAUAGAGGAGUUCAAGAAUAGCAACAAACCUGAGAAGGAAGGAUGUGGUUGCCUUGAGUCUACAGUCAUGCCUGUUCUUCGAUUUGGAUUGGAUGCUGCCAACACUAUUUCAAUAUACGCUCAUGAAGGCUAAGAUACUCCAGGAGGCGAAGGAGGAGCCACAGGAGUUGGAGCGAGCACUAGCUAGCAAGCUCCAUGAGCAGGAAAAGCUGAUGGCUAAUGGCUUCACAGAGAAAGAGGCAGCCAUGAAUGAGGAGAUACAGAGCCUGAGAGAGAAGGAGGAGGCCAAGCGUGAGGAGAAGGAAGAGCAGUCUUGUAACUUCAGAGCCAUAGCACAGGGUGUCAUGGAGAGUGUCAGCAAUGGCUUAGGUCCCUACUUUAACUAUAAGAAAGCCUGUGAGCAACGCAAGACGAUUGUGUUCAAGGAGCACAUGACUCUCAAGCAAGACGGCCACACCCAAACUCAAAACAGGAGCAGUUGGCAACUCUAAACACAACUCUGCCCAAAGUCAACACAGGUACAACUGACAAAAGCCCUGGCUCAGAGGUCUAUAGGAUUCACCAGAGAUUGGUCAAUGGUCCAGAUCAGCAGCCACACCUUUCUCCAGUCUCAACAUUAACCAGAAGAGCUACUAGGAAAUAGUGCAACAGAAAGACUGCUGUGCAACAACAGUACAAUGGGGCCAAACCAGCUGUCACUUCACAGAAGUCAGUUCCUCAGUUUAUAACCAUUAAUUUAUCAUUCUGAUAUAAUUAAAUAUUUAAAAGGUUAUUACAUACCAUUCUUAGAAUUGUAGUUAAGAUGUGUGCUUUGUUUUGUUCUUGGAUGUAGGGUCAAGUAAAUUAGCUUAACUUGUUUUGAAGUCAAAUUUGGCUAGAAUGGAACUGCUCAGCUUCAAUGUGCUUUUAAAUUCAGGGUUGACCAUUAUCAUGUUUUGUAAUUGUUGUUUAAAUAAACCUUGCUUCAUCUCUAUUUCUGCCGCCAUUCUAAAAUGGCAGCAGUUUUACGGGUGCCCAACCAAUUGUGCUAUUAUGUGGGGGUUUUUCGCGUUAUUUGUAACUUAUUUUGUACAUAAUGUUUCUGCAACCGUAUCUUACGCCAGAAAAGAGCUUCUGGAUAUCAGGACAGAGAUCACUCACCUCGGAUUAGACAAAUAUUUUUUCAACAACAAGCAAGACUCACAUGAUAUUCUCCAAACAUCCGGCAGGGCCGACAUCCCAGUUAUUCGCAAGAGGAAGUGACGCAGGUACAGAGGACGAAGAACCGGAUGCCUCGUCAGGACCCGCAGAAGGCGAGUAGGAAAGCUGCCGUUACUGUCAAUAUUACUCGCCAACAUGCAAUCAUUGGACAAUAAACUAGACGAGGUACGAUCACGAAUAUCCUACCAACGGGACACCAAAAACUGUAAUGUCCUAUGUUAAGGGCGUGGCGGUCUGUGCAUAUUUGCAAACAACAGCUGGUGCCCAAAAUCUAAGGAAGUCUCUAGAUUUUGCUCGCCUGAAGUAGAGUAUAUAGUGAUAAAUUGCAGGCCACACCACUUGUCUAGAAAGUUCUCAGCUAUACUGUUUGUGGCUGUUUAUUUACCACCACAAUCAGAUGUGGGCACUAAGACCACACUCAGUCAGCUGUAUAAGGAAAUAAGCAAACAGGAAACCACUCACCUAGAGGCGGCGCACCUAGUGGCCGGAGACUUUAAUCAGUUCUACCAAAUCAACAUGUUAAAUGUGCAACCAGAGGGAAAAAAAUUCUAGAUCACCUGUACUCCACACACAGAGACGCGUACAAAGCUCUCCCUCGCCCUCCAUUUGGUAAAUCCGACCACAACUCUAUCCUCCUGAUUCCUGCUUACUAAGCAACAAUAUAAGCAGGAAGCACCAGUGACAGUGGUCAGAUGAGCAGAUGCUAAACUACAGAACUGUUUUGCUAUCACAGACUGGAA
rnacentral:lncRNA from 1 species